rnacentral:lncRNA from 1 species
CUUUCACCUCCUUUUCCCCCUCUUUCCGCUCCUCCCUCUCUCUCUCAUUCCCUAGUCUUUUGCACCCUUUCUCUCUGCCUGCUAGUGGAGUCACCAUGACAACGGCCUCCAUGACAAUUACAGCCCAGGCAGCAGUGCCUCUUCCCAUGAGGGACUCCAAUACUCACUUGGAAUUUGCUCCCUGAUUUCAUGGCCCAGGCAGUGAAUUUGCUUCACUCUCCAAGUUUCCACAAGGCCACAGGGAAUAGAUUUGGUAGCCAACCACAGCCCCGAAGAUGGGAGAAAGCAAAGAAGGAAGAAUGAAGCAUGGGAGAGAAUGAAAGAGGAGAGGGGGAACUGAAGCUCUCACCUUCCUCUUCUCUGAUGGAACAGAAAGGACUCCAGCAAAAACAUCUGCUAAGCACCUAAUAUAUACCAAGCUUCAAUCCUGGCUUUGGAUACACAUGGAUGGUUAAUGACUUUGGGAUCUCUUAAUUUAGGAGAACUAUUACCUGGACUUCAUGAACAAAAUCACAGUACUUAAAAGUCACGAAUUAAUUAUCUUCAUCUCUGAUGCCCAGAUGAACAUUACAACUCUGAGUUAUGG